CUCCCUCCCUCCCGUCGGAAUUCGCAGCCUUCCCGGUUCUUUCCAUCCCCCAGCGGCCUCCCUCGGGGUAUUACUUUGGGGGGGAAAGACAGAGGCGUCGAGGUGGCGGGCUCCACACUGGCCCGGCCCGCAUUCCCAGCGCCUCCCGCUCCUCGCCGCGCGGCAGCCGACUCCUCUAAAAUACCCGGGCGUCGCCGCGGCCUCGCUCCCGUCCGCGCGCAGAAGCCGGUGGGGCCCCGAGAAACCUUAGGCACGACUUCUUCCCUACUCAAUAUUGAUAUAAAGCCAACAAAGAUUGUGAUGGCAUGGAUAAUGGCACUUCAGGAAGAACCCACUAUACAUGAACAAGGUCUAAGGACUGAACCUACCUGCUUUUACUGAACCAUUAAGAAGUUAGAUUUUUUGCCGGCUAUGGUGGCACAUGCCUGUAAUACCAGCGGUUCAGGAGGCUGAGGCAGGAGGAUCAAAAGUUCAAAGCCAGCUUCAGCAAUUGUGAGGCACUAAGCAAGUCAGUGAGACCCUGUCUCUAAUAAAAUACAAAAUAGGGCUGGGGAUGUGGCUCA
rnacentral:lncRNA from 1 species